rnacentral:rRNA from 1 species
CACUUCAGUAUCAAGUAAUUCUAUAUAAUUAUAGAAAUUUUUAUGUUAAAACUAGUAACAAGAAAACAAACUUCUCCUUAAUGCAAGCAUAAAUCAGAAAGGACCCACCACUGAUAAUUAACACCCAUGAAUCUAAUAGUAGUAACGCUACAAGAAAAUUCUACCCCAUCUUAUGUUAAUCUUACACAAGAGCAUUUUAGGAAAGAUUAAAAGAAAAAGAAGGAACUCGGCAAAUUUUAACCCCGCCUGUUUACCCAAAACCAUCGCCUCUUGAAUAAUUAUAAGAGGUCCAGCCUGCCCAGUGACUCUGUUCAACGGCCGCGGUAUCCUAACCGUGCGAAGGUAGCGUAAUCACUUGUUCUUUAAAUGAGGACUAGUAUGAAUGGCACCACGAAGGUUAUACUGUCUCCUUUUUUUAAUCAGUGAAACUAAUCUUCCCGUGAAGAAGCGGGAAUAAAUAUAUAAGACGAGAAGACCCUAUGGAGCUUUAAACACAAGUAACAAUUGCCCCCUUCCCUAUUUUCAACAGAAAAUUAAUCUAUAUUUAGGCAUUUUGAUUACAAGUUUUAGGUUGGGGUGACCGCGGAGAAAAAAUAACCUCCACAAUGAACAGGACUUAUCCUUAAAUUUAGGAUUACAAUCCCAAAAAUCAAUAAAUUGACAUCUAUUGACCCAAUAUUUUUGAUCAAUGAACCAAGUUACCCUAGGGAUAACAGCGCAAUCCACUUCAAGAGCCCCUAUCGACAAGUGGGUUUACGACCUCGAUGUUGGAUCAGGGUGUCCCAGUGGUGCAGCCGCUACUAAAGGUUCGUUUGUUCAACGAUU